CCCCCCCCCCCCCCCCCGCGAUGCCAAAGUCGAAUCUCAGAACGGGAUGGGAAAAACAAUGCGAAAAAAGGAGAGAAAAAAAAAAGAGAGAUUGGAAAGGAAGAGGGGAAGAAAAUGGGAAGAGAUGCCAAAAAAUAGGAGAAAAAGGGAGGAAAAAGGAGAAAAAGAGGAGGAAAAGAGGAGGAAAAAGGAGGAAAAAAGGAGAAAAAAAGGAGGAAAAAAGGAGGAGGAGAUAAAAUGGAGAAAAAAGGAGAAAAAAGGGAGGAAAAAGGGAGGAAAAAAGGAGAAAAUGAGGAGGAAAAAAAAGAGGAGAAGAGGAGAUAAAAUGGAGAAAAAGGGAGAAAAAAGGAGAAAAAAGGGAGGAAAAAAGGAGAAAAUGAGGAGGAAAAGAGGAGGAAAAAGGAGGAAAAAAGGAGAAAAAAGGGAGGAAAAAAGGGAGGAAAAAAGGAGGAGAAGAGGAGAUAAAAUGGAGAAAAAAGGAGAAAAAAGGGAGGAAAAAAGGAGGAGAAGAGGAGAUAAAAUGGAGAAAAAGGGAGAAAAAAGGAGAAAAAAGGGAGGAAAAAAGGAGAAAAUGAGGAGGAAAAGAGGAGGAAAAAGGAGGAAAAAAGGAGAAAAAAAGGAGGAAAAAAGGGAGGAAAAAAGGAGGAGAAGAGGAGAUAAAAUGGAGAAAAAAGGAGAAAAAAGGGAGGAAAAAAGGAGAAGAGGAGAUAAAAUGGAGAAAAAAGGAGAAAAAAGGAGGAAAAAGGGAGGAAAAAAGGAGAAAAUGAGGAGGAAAAAAAAGGAGGAGAAGAGGAGAAUAAAAAGGAGGAAAAGAGGAGAAAAAAGGGAGAAAAAAAGGAGAAAAAGGGAGGAAAAAGAGGAGGAAAUGAGAAGAAAAAAAAAGGAGGAGAAGAGGAGAAAAAAUGGAGAAAAAAGGAGAAAAAAAGGAGGAAAAAUGGAGAAAAUGAGGAGGAAAAAAGGAGGAGAAGAGGAGAAAAAAAGGAGGAAAAGAGAAAAAUGGAGAAAAAGGGAGAAAAAGGGAGGAAAAAAUGAGGAAAUGAGAAGAAAAAAAAGGAGGAGAAGAGGAGAUAAAAUGGAGAAAAAAGGACAAAAAAGGGAGGAAAAAAGGAGAAAAUGAGAAAAAAAAGGAGGAGAAGAGGAGAAUAAAAAGGAGGAAAAGAGGAGAAAAAAUGGAGGAAAAAAGAUAAUGAGAAAAAAAGGAGGAGAAGAGGAGAUAAAAUGGAGAAAAAAGGAGAAAAAAGGAGAAAAUAGUGAGGAAAAAGAGGAGAAAAAAAGGGAGGAAAAAGGAGAAAAUGAUGAGAAAAAAAGGAGGAGAAGAGGAGAAAAAAGGAGGAAAAGAGGUGAAAAAAUGGAAAAAAAAGGAGAAAAAGGGAGGAAAAAAGGAGAAAAUGAGGAGGAAAAAAAAGGAGGAGAAGAGGAGAAAAAAAGGAGGAAAAGAGGAGAAAAAAUGGAGAAAAAGAGGUGAAAAAGUGGAGGAAAAGAGGAAUAAAAGAGGAGAAAAGGAGGAGAAAAAAUGCGAAAAAAAGGAGAGAAAGGAGAAAAAAGGGGGAGAAUGAGGAAAAAAAAAGAGAGGAAAAAAGAUUUGAAAGGAAGAGGGGAAGAAAAUGGGAAGAGGUGCCAAAAAUAGGAGAAAAAGGGAGAAAAAAAGGAGAAAAAAGAGGAGGAAAAAAUGGAGAGAAAAGGAGAAAAAGGAGAAACAGAGGAGAAAAGGAGGAGAAAAAGGAGAAAAAAGGAGAAAUAAAGGAGAAAAAGGGAGAAAAGGGAGGAAAAAAGGAGAAAAAAGGAGAAGAAAAGGAGAAAAAAGGAGAAAAAAACGAGAAGAAAAGGAGAAAAAAAGGAGAAGAAAAAGAGAAAGAGAAAAGGAGGAAAAAAGGAGAAAAUGAGAAAAAAGGAAGAAGAGGAGAUAAAAUGGAGAAAAAAUGAGAAGAAAAGAAGAAAAAAGGAGAAAAAAGGAGAAAAAAGGGAGAAAAAAGGAGAAAAAAGGAGAAAAAAGGAGAAAAAAGGAGAAAAAAGGAGAAAAAGGAGAAAAAGGAGAAGAAAAGGAGAAGAAAAAGGAGAAGAAAAGGAGAAAAAAAAGGAGAAAAAAGGGAGAAAAAAGGAGAAAAAGGGAGAAGAAAAAGGAGAAGAAAAGGAGAAAAAAGGAGAAGAAAAGGAGAAGAAAAAGGAGAAAAAAGGAGAAGAAAAGGAAAAGAAAAGGAGAAGAAAAAAAGGAAAAAAGGAGAGAAAAGGAGAAAAAAGGAGAGAAAAGGAGAAAAAAAGGAGAAGAAAAGGAGAAGAAAAGGAGAAGAAAAGGGGAAGAAAAGAUUUAAAAAGGGAGAAAAAAAGCUUAAAAAUGAAGGAAAAAAAGAAGAAAAAAAAACCGAAAAAAAAAAGGAGAAAAUAAAACAGGGAAAAAAAAAACGAGAGAAAAACAAACAAACAAAAAAAGCCAAAAGAAAAGAAAAAAAAGCAAGAAAAAAAGCAAAAAGCACCGAGCGGAGGGGAGGGACCCCCAACCCCCCCCCCCCCCCACCCCCCUCCCCAAAAACCCCCCCAACGGGACUCAGCACAGAGCGAAGCAGACGACGACGUCGAGGAGAGGAGAGGAGGAGGAGGAGGAGGAAGAGCCGCUAUGGGGGCGGGGGGGCGCCGUUUCUCCUCCCGUCCUGCAGGUGGCGCUGUGGGAGCGCCCAACUUCUCCUCCAUGACCGCGUCGGACUGAAACCUCUCAGAGCAAUAAUACUAAUAAUACUAAGAAUGCUAAUAAUAAUAAUAAUAAUUAAUGAUAAUAAGGAUACUAAUCAUACUCAUACGGAUAAAUAAUCGUGGAGGGUGGCCGGCGUGAGCUCACGAGGACUCACGAGGACUCGCGGCCGCCCGGCCCCACUUCUCACUAGCGACGAAGAUCAGGGAUGCCGUCACAGUAGCGCUAGCAAACCCCCCCCCCCCCCCAAAACCCCCCCAUAGCCAACCUGCAACCGACCCCUCCCCCCCCCCGACCCCCCCCUUUGGUCGAAAUCCCCCCCCCCGGGCUUUGCACGCGCGUGUGAGGGGCCGUCGGGUGAGUGCACACGCGGGUGUGAGCGUGCGUGGGGCCGGCAGGCAGCAAUAGGCUCUCAGGGGCUCUGUGAGUGCUGCGGGUGCUGCAUGGCUGUUGCACACUCACAUACACACUGCAGGUGUGCACGCGUGUGUGACAGGCUGUAGUGAGUGCACACGUGUGUGCAAGUGUAUGUGCAACAGUGUGGUGCCAGCAGGCAGCAAUAGGCUCUCAGGGGCUCUGUGAGUGCUGUGGGUGCUGCAUGGCUGUUGCACACUCACAUACACACUGCAGGUGUGCACACGUGUGUGACAGGCUGUAGUGAGUGCACACGUGUGUGCAAGUGUCUGUGCAACCAUGUGGUGCCAGCAGGCGGCCGUCGGCUCACAAGGGCUCUGUGAGUGCUGCGUGGCUGUUGCACACGCACGUGUGAGCACACACACAUAUAUGCAUGCACACGUGUGUGACAGGCUGUAGUGAGUGCACACGUGUGUGCAAGUGUAUGUGCAACAGUGUGGUGCCAGCAGGCAGCAAUAGGCUCUCAUGGGCUCUGUGAGUGCUGCGGGUGCUGCAUGGCUGUUGCACACUCACAUACACACUGCAGGUGUGCACACGUGUGUGAUAGGCCAUAGUGUGCAAGUAUCUGUGCAACCAUGUGGUGCCAGCAGGCAGCAAUAGGCUCUCAAGGGCUCUGUGAGUGCUGCGUGGCUGUUGCACAUGCACGUGUGAGCACACACAUGUACGUGCAUGCACACGUCUGUGACAGGCCAUAGUGAGUGCACACGUGUGUGCAAGUGUAUGUGCAACAGCGUGGUGCCAGCAGGCAGCAAUAGGCUCUCAGGGGCUCUGUGAGUGCUGCGGGUGCUGCAUGGCUGUUGCACACUCACAUACACACUGCAGGUGUGCACACGUGUGUGAUAGGCCAUAGUGAGUGCACACGCGUGUGCAUCUGUGCAGCUGUGUGGUGCCAGCAGGCAGCAAUUGGCUCACAGGGGCUCUGAGAGUGCAUGGCCGUUGCACACUAACAUAUACACAGCAUGCAUGCACGCAUGUGUGAUAGGCCAUAGUGAGUGCACACGCGUGUGCAAGUGUAUGUGCAACUGUGUGGUGCCAGCAGGCGGCCGUCAGCUCACAAGGGCUCUAUGAGUGCUGCAGGUGCUGAUUGCUGUUGCACACGCACGUGUGAGCGCACACACAUAUAUAUAUACAUGCACACGUGUGUGACAGGCUGUAGUGUGUGCACACGCGUGUGCAUGUGUAUGUGCAACCGUGUGGUGCCAGCAGGCAGCUGUCAGCUCACAAGGGCUCUAUGAGUGCUACAGGUGCUGCUCUGCUGUUGCACACUCACACACACACUGCAGGUGUGCACACGUGUGUGUGAUAGGCCGUAGUGAGUGCGCACGUGUGUGCAAGUGUACGUGCAACCGUGUGGUGCCAGCAGGCAGCAAUUGGCUCACAGGGGCUCUGAGAGUGCAUGACUGUUGCACACUCAUAUGCACACAACGUGCGUGUGCACGUGUGUGAUAGACCGUAGUGAGUGCACACGUGUGUGCAAGUGUAUGUGCAACCGUGUGGUGCCAGCAGGCGGCCGUCAGCUCACAAGGGCGCUAUGAGUGCUGCAGAUGCUGAUUGCUGUUGCACACGCACGUGUGAGCACACACACAGAUACAUGCAUGCACAUGUGUGUGACAGGCCGUAGUUCAUGCACACGCGUGUGCAAGCAUCUGUGCAACUGUGUGGUGCCAGCAGGAAGCAAUUGGCUCACAGGGGCUCUAUGAGUGCUGGUGGUGCUGCUCUGCUGUUGCACACGCACGUGAGCACACGCACAUAUAGCCCUGCAGCAUGUAUGCACAGGCGUGUGCAAGCACAGGUAUGCGCAUGUCACGGCCGCUGUUGCACACAUACGUGUGAGCACACACAUGUACAGGCAUGCAACGUGCAGGCACACGUGUGUGUUGUGCACUUACACGUGCACACUCACACACAGAGGGCACGCAUGCUUACACACGCACGUGCAAGCAGGCAGCAGUAGGGCCUGCAUGCUCUGCAAUGGCUGCUGGUGUUGCACACGCGUGUACAUGGAGGCACACACAUGUGCACGCUCGCUUAUAGCUAUGCAUGUUGCACACGCGUGUGCAAGCACGGGUAUGUAUGUGGUGCCAGCAGGCAGCAGCCGGCUCACACGCGCUGUGAGUGCUGCACAGCUGUUGCACACGCGUGUACGUGUGGGCACACGCACAUGCACACCCAUCCACACAUUCAAGCAUACGCGUGUGUCACGAAUUUACAUGCACACACACUCACACGUGCACACACAUUCACACACUCCUCGUGCAAGCAGACAGGAAGGAGCUGCUCUGCUUUGUGAGCGCUGUCGGUGUUGCACACGCGUGUGCAUGUAUGCACACGCACACACACACACACACCUGACACGCACGUGGAUCCAAGCGAGGCGCCCUAAGUGCGGCGGGUGCUGCACACGCGUGUGAACAUUUGCACACGCAGACACACCCACACACAAGCAGGCUUGUGUGCUCUGCACGUGCUGCUGGUUUUGCACACCCAUGCCAAUGUUUGCACGCGCAGCCGGUGUGCACUCACGUACACACUCACAUCAAGCAGACGUGGGCAGGCAGGCAUGCACACAAGUGCUGCUGGUGUUGCACACCUCUUGCACACACAUACCCAUGCAGGCACACACGCAUACAAACAUGCUACACGCAGCCUUGCACACUCAUUGUGCCAUCACACACGUGUGUGCUCUGCAAGUGCUGCUGCUGUUGCACACCUCUUGCACACACAUACCCAUGCAGGCACACGCAUGCAACACACAGCCUUGCACACUCAUUGUGGGAGCCCACAGACACACGUGUGAGCUCUGCAAGUGCUGCUGCUGUUGCACACUUAUUGCACACACGUACAUGUAUGCACACACACACCUCGCAGCCUUGCACACUCGUUGUGGCAGCACACAGACACACGUGUGUGCUCUGCAAGUGCUGCUGCUGUUGCACACCUCUUGCACACACAUACCCAUGCAGGCACAUGCACACGCAUGCAACACACAGCCUUGCACACUCAUCGUGGCAGCACACAGACACACAAGUGUGCUCCACCAGUGCUGCUGGUGUUGCACACCUCUUGCACACACAUACCCAUGCAGGCACACACGCAUACAAACAUGCAACACAGCCUUGCACACUCAUUGUGGCAGCACACAGACACACGUGUGCGCUCUGCAAGUGCUGCUGCUGUUGCACACCUCUUGCACACGCAUAUCCAUGCAGGCACAUGCACAUACAUACAUGCAGUACGUGGCCUUGCACACUCAUUGUGGCAGCACACAGACACAUGUGUGAGUUCUGCAAGUGCUGCUGGUGUUGCACACCUCUUGCACACACAUACCCAUGCAGGCACACGCAUGCAACACACAGCCUUACACACUCAUUGUGGGAGCCCACAGACACACGUGUGCGCUCUGCAAGUGCUGCUGCUGUUGCACACCUCUUGCACACACAUACCCUUCCAGGCACACGCACACGUAUGCAACACGCAGCCUUGCACACUCACUGUGGCAGCACACGGACACACAUGUGCGCUCUGCAAGUGCUGCUGGUGUUGCACACCUCUUGCACACACACGUACAUGUAUGCACACACACACCUCGCAGCCUUGCACACUCGUUGUGCCAUAACACAGAAACACAUGUGUGCUCUGCAAGUGCUGCUGCUGUUGCACACCUCUUGCACACGCAUAUCCGUGCAGGCACAUGCAUGCAACACGCAGGCUUGCACACUCGUUGUGGCAGCACACAGACACACAUGUGUGCUCCGCAAGUGCUGCUGGUGUUGCACACUUAUUGCACAUACACGUACAUAUAUGCACACACAAACACUCAUCGUGCAAGCAGACGUUGCACAUCUUGCACACUCAUGCAGCGUGCAGGCUCACGCAUGUGUUGUGUACACAGCCCUGAGCACGCUUGCACACUUUGCUGGUGUUGCACACCCAUUGUAUGCACAAACAUGUUUGCACACGCAUGUUAGGUGCCACCUCCCAUGCUCUGCAAGUGCUGCGGCUGUUGCACACGCACACGCAAGUGUGCACAAGCGAUGUGUUGAGCACUGCUCGCGUGUGCAAGGCACGUGGCAUGAGUGUGCAUGAGGAGCACACGUGCAUGAGCGUCGCCAUGCGCACAGACUGCCUUGCACACGCGUGUGAGUAGGAUCACAUUGCACACGCAUCCUGUCAGCACACUGUGCAAAGCACACUGCCCCGGUGCACAAACAUUCACACCUUGCACACCCACACCCCUGUGCACACGCGUGAGAGCCCUGCACACGCACCACAUAAUGCACACCUGCACCACUUGCUCGGGUGUGCAAACCUUGUGGGUGCAACGUGCGUGCACAUCCCGUGCUCACACGCUACACACUGUGUGCACACUCAUUACACACCCAGUGCUCACCCAUUGCACACUCACUGCACUGCACAUCCAUCACAAUCCCUUUGCACACCCAUUGCACACCGACUGCACACACUGCACUCCCAGUGCACACCCAUUGCACACUCACUGCUCAGCACAUCCUUUAGACUCCCUGUGCACACCCGUUGCACACUCACUGCACAUCCAUUACAAUCCCUUUGCACAACCACUGCACACUGACUGCACAUCCAUUACAAUCCCUUUGCACACCCAUUGCACACCGACUGCAUGCACUGAAUCCCCUCUGCACACUCAUUGCACACUCACUGCACUGCACAUCCAUUACAAUCCCUCUGCACACCCAUUGCACACUCACUGCACUGCAUCUCCAUCACACCCCCUGUGCACACUCAUUGCACACUUGCUGCACUCCCAUUAGAUCCCGUGUGCACACCCACUGCUCACCAACUGCACUCCCUGUGCACACUCAUUGCACACUCACUGCACACCCAUUGCACCCCCUGUGCACACCCAUCGGACACUGCAUGUCAACUGCACUCCCUGUGCACACUCAUUGCACACUCACUGCACACCUAUUAGACCCCCUGUGCAUGCCCGUUGCAUGCCAACUGUACUCCCUGUGCACACUCAUGGCACGCAGUGCACACUCACUGCACACCCAUUCUGUACACUGCAUUCCCUGUGCACACCCACUGCACACUCACUGCACACUGCAUUCCCUGUGCACACCCAUUCUGCACACACUGUGCACACCCAUUGCACACUCACUGCACGCACUGCACUCCCCGUGCACGCCCACUGCACACUCAUUACACGUCCACUGUGCACUCCUUGCACACACUGCACCCCCUUUGCACACUCACUGCCCACCCACAGCGUGCACUGCACUCCUGUUGCACACCCACUGCACACACUGCACGCUCUGUGCACACACACUGCGCUGCACACUCACUGCAUGUCUACUGCAUGCUCUUUGCACGCACUGCACCCCCUUUGCACACUCACCGCACACCCACUGCAACCUGUGUGCACACUCACUGCACACCCAGCACUCUUUUUGCACACACACUGCACGCCCUGUGCACACACUCAUUGCACACCCACAGCGCACACACCCACCGCUCACCCCACGCAUGCAGUGAACUCCUCUUGCACACUCACUGCACAUGUUGCACUCCCCUGCACACACAGCUCCCCCUGUGCAAGCCCAGUGCACACCCACCGCAGACCCUUUGCACGCACCACACUCCUCUUGCACACCCACUGCUCCCUCUGCACACCCCCUGCUCCACACACACACCACCGUGCCCUGUGCAUGCCCACAGCACUCCCCGUGCACACCCAUUGCACACCCGUUGCACACACACCACGCACUGUAAACCCACUGCACUUGUUGCUCACGUUACCAACGCGCUGCACACGUUGCACACCCACUGCACACAUGACACACCCGUUGCACACACACUGCACACACAUUGCACACCCAUUGCACACAGACUGCACACUGUGCACGCUCCUUGCACGCACAUUGCACACCCUCUGCACACACCACACACGUGAUUGCAGGCAUUGCACACGUUGCACACACAAACGUGUGACACUGCAUACGUGCAGCACCCCACAAACACACUGCACACCCAUUGCACGCACACUAUAAGCACACUCAGCACACACAACAUGCAACAAACGUGACACACGUGUGACACACGCGUGACACUCAUAACAAUCACCAGACACACUCAGUGCCCUGCACACGCACUGCACAACCAUUGCACACACACUAUAGGCACAAUCAGCACACACAACACACGUGACACACGCGUGACACACUCAUAACAAGCACCAGACACACUCAGCACCCCACACAUGCACUGCACGCCCAUUGCACACACACUCAGAACACACAACACGUGUGACACACACAUAACACACUCAUAGCAACACCAGACACACUCACUGCCCUGCAGGUGCCUUGCACGCCCAUUGCACACACACUAAAAGCAUACUCAACGCACACAACACAUGUGACACACACAUGUGACACACACGUGACACAAACACGUGACACACAUGUGACUCACACUCUGUACACACACAACACACUCGCACACAGUGCCCCCCACACCCCCUGCACUCCCCUUGCACACCCACUGCACACAAACGCGUGGCACACACGACACACACACGCACUACACCACACACACACUCACAACACGCACACCGCACGCCCAUUGCACGCCUAUUGCACACCCAUUGCAUGCCCAUUGCACACGUGACACAUGUGGCACACACUACACACCACUCACACAUGAGACACACACUCACAACCAGCACUGCAUGCACUCAGUGCCUGCAGGCCCAUUGCACACCCAUUCCACAUCCAUUGCACACCCGCUGCACAUGUGACACGUGUGCCACACAGCACGCACACAACACACGCACAAAACACACACACACAACCAGCACUGCGUGCACUCAGUGCCUGCACACCCAUUACACGCCCAUUGCACGCCCAUCACACAGCCAAUGCACACCACUUGCACACCCAUUGCACACGUACUGCACACGUGUCACGUGUGAGACACACCACACACACGACACACACACGAACACUGCAUGCACUCGGUGCCUGCACACCCAUUGCACACCCAUUGCACAGCCAUUGCACGCCCCUUGCACACCCACUGCACACGUGACACGUGUGACACACACUACACACCUCUCACACAUGAGACACACACUCACAACCAGCACUGCAUGCACUCAGUGCCUGCAGGCCCAUUGCACACCCAUUGCACACUCAUCACACAGCCACUGCACACCCCUGCACAACCACUGCACACGUGACACAUGUGACACACACCACACACAUGACACACACACACACACUGCAUGCACUCAGUGCCUGCACACCCAUUGCACGCCCAUUGCACGCCCAUCACACAGGCAUUGCACGCCCCUUGCACACCCACUGCACACGUGACACGUGUGACACACACUACACACCUCUCACACAUGAGACACACACUCACAACCAGCACUGCAUGCACUCAGUGCCUGCAGGCCCAUUGCACACCCAUUGCACACUCAUCACACAGCCACUGCACACCCCUGCACAACCACUGCACACGUGACACAUGUGACACACACCACACACAUGACACACACACACACACUGCAUGCACUCAGUGCCUGCACACCCAUUGCACGCCCAUUGCACGCCCAUUGCACACCCAUUGCACGCCCCUUGCACACCCACUGCACACGUGACACGUGACACAAACCACACACACAACACACGCGCAAGACGCACACACAACAUGCACUGCAUGCACACUCAUUGCACACACAUUGCACGCCCAUCACACAGCCAUUGCACGCCCCUUGCACACCCACUGCACACGUGACACGUGUGACACACCACACACAUGACACACACACAACACACUGCAUGCACACCCAUUGCACGCCCACUGCACACACACCACACCCACAUGACACACCCACAUAGCACUCACCGUGUGCACUCGGUGCCCUGCAUGCCUCUUGCACGCCCGCCACACACCCACAGCCCAAAUCGCAUGGCCGUUGCACACCCACAGCACACACGACACGUGUGAGACACACCGCACGCUCCAUACACACGCACGCAACACACAGCGCACACACUCAGCACGCCGCAUGCCCGUUGCACACCCGUUGCACGCCCACUGCACGCACGCAAUACACAACUCAGACAACACACAGCACACGCACGCACAAAGCACACUCACAACACUCACUGCGCACACUCAGCACUCCUCACAUCUGUUGCACACUCAUUGCACUCCCAUUGCACACCCACCACACACACAACACGCGUGACACACACAUGACACACACAACACGCAUGCACAAUGCUCAGUACAUGCACACAGUGUCCUGCACACUCAUUGCACGCCCAUUACACACACUGCUCACAUAUGGCCCGUGUGACACACGCAGCACACUCACACACGCAUGCACAACGCUCAGUACACACAGUGCCCUGCACAAAAUUGCACACUCAUUGAACGCCCAUUGCACACCCACUGCUCACACAUGGCCCGCGUGACACAUACACGCACUUGAUGCACACUCACAACGUGCAUUGCACGCACUCAGUGCCCUGCACCCAAAUUGCACACUCAUUGCACACCCAUUGCAUGCCCAUUGCACACCCACCACACACACGACACGCGUGACACAUGCGUGACACACACAACACGCAUGUAGAACACUCAGUACAUGCACUCAGUGCCCUGCACACUCACUGCACACUCAUUGCACGCCCAUUGCACACCCACUGCACACACACAACACGCGUGACACACGUGACACACACAACACGCAUGCACAACGCUCAGUACAUGCACACAGCGUCCUGCACACUCGUUGCACACUCAUUGCACGCCCAUUGCACACCCAGCGCACACACACAACAUGCGUGACACACGUGACACACACAACACGCAUGUAGAACACUCAGUACACGCACUCAGUGCCCUGCACACAAACUGCACAUUCAUUGCACACUCAUUGCACGCCCAUUGCACACCCACUGCUCACACAUGGCCCGUGUGACACAUACACACUGCACACACUUCAUGCACACUCCCAACAUGCAUUGCAUGUGCUCAGUGCCACGCACACCCAUUGUACACCCAUUGCACGCCCAUUGCACACCCACCACACACACACGCACCACACACACUCCCACCACACACCGCACACACUCGGUGCCUUGCACACCCACUGCACGCCCAUUGCACACCCACCACACACACUCCCACCACGCACCGCACACACUCAGUGCCUUGCACACCCAUUGCACGACCUUUGCACGUCUAUUGCACACCCACCACACACGUGACGUGUGACUAACGUGACACGUGACACACACACACACACACACACACACACACUCACACCAUGCACCACACGCGCUCGGCGCCCUGCAUGCCCUUUACACACCCAUCGCACACCCAGCACACACACUCCCACACACUCGGCCCCCCGCACGCCCAUUGCACGUCUAUGACACGGACAUUGCACACCCACAAUGCACAUGGCACGUGUGACACACGUGACACAUGUCCCCCCACACUCCCACCACACACUGCAUGCACUCAGUGCCUUGCACACCCAUUGCACAUCCAUUGCACGUCCAUUGCGCACCCACUGCUCACACAUGGCACGUGUGACACACACACACACCACACACACUGCACGCACACUCCCAACAUGCAUUGCACACUCUCAACGUGACGCAUGCCCGUUGCACACCCAUUGCACACCCACAGCACACACUUAUAACACGCACACUCCCACACACUUGGCAACCCUCACAUCCAUUGCACGUCUAUUACACACCCAUUGCACGCUCACAGCACACACACAACACACACACUCCCACACACUCGGCGGCCCGCACACCCUUUGCACAUCUAUUACACACCCAUUGCACACCCACUAUGCACAUGGCACGUAUGACACACGUGACACACAUCCCCCCACACUUCCACCACACACUGCAUGCACUCGGUGCCUUGCACACCCAUUGCACACCCAUUGCACAUCCAUUGCACGUCCAUUGCACACCCACUGCUCACACAUGGCUUGUGUGACACACACACACCACACACACUGCACGCGCACUCCCAACAUGCAUUGCACACACUCAGCGUGACGCAUGCCCGUUGCACACCCAUUGCACACCCUUUACACACUCAGGACACACAUGACACACGUGACACACACACAGAACAGACACACACUCCAAACACACCGAUUGCACACCCAUUGCACAGCAGCUGCACACGCAUUGCACACUCUUUACACACCCAUUGCACCCUCACAACACACAACACACAUGACUCACACACAACACACGCACAUACACUCCCAACACACCCUACGUGCCCAUUGCACACCCUUUACACACCCAUUGCACACUCAGGACACACACAACACACGACACACACACACACUCCUAACACGCCCAUUGCACAUCCAUUACACACCCACCACAUGCGUGUGACACCCCCUCACUCUCCCACCACGCCUUUGCACGCCCAUUGCACACCCACGACGCACGUGACACCCGUGACACACAUGACACACACACUCCCACCACGCACUGCACACACUCAGCGCCCCACACUCCCACUGCACACCCAUUGCACACCCAUGACACACGUAACACACAUGACACACACAAACACACUCCGAACACGCACUGCACGCCCAUUGCACACCCUUUGCACACCCACUGCACACCAACUACACACCCAACACCCGUGACACCCAUGAUACACACACACUCACACACUCCCACCACACUCUGCACACACUCAGCACCCCACACACCCACUGCACACCCAUUGCACACCCACAGCACACCCACAACGCGCGCCACCCACGUGACACUCACAGCCCCCCCUCCCCCACACUCCCACCAUGCCCUGUACUCACUCGGCGCCCCACACGCCCAUUGCACACCCAUUGCACACCCACGACGCACGUGACACAUGUGACACACACACUCACAUACUCCCAACACGCACUGCAUGCCAAUUGCACACCCUUUGCACACCCACUGCACACCCACUACACACCCAACAUCCGUGACACCCAUGACACACAUGACACACGUGACACACACGCACUCACACACUCCCACCAUGCACUGCACACACUCAGCACCCAUUGCACGCCCAUUGCACACCCAUUGCACACCCACUGCACACCAACUACACACCCAACACCCGUGACACUCAUGACACACAUGACACACGUGACACACACACACACUCACACACUCCCACCACGCACUGCACACACUCAGCACCCAUUGCACACCCAUUGCACACUCACAGCACACCCACAACGCGCGCCACCCACGUGACACUCACACCCCCCCCUCCCCCACACUCCCACCACGCCCUGUACUCACUCGGCGCCCCGCACGCCCAUUGCACACCCAUUGCACACCCACGAUGCACGUGACACAUGUGACACACACACUCACAUACUCCCAACACGCACUGCAUGCCAAUUGCACACCCUUUGCACACCCACUGCACACCCACUACACACCCAACAUCCGUGACACCCAUGACACACAUGACACACGUGACACACACACACUCACACACUCCCACCAUGCACUGCACACACUCAACACCCCACACACCCACUGCACACCCACUGCACACCCAUUGCACACCCACAGCACACCCACAAUGCACGCCACCCACGUGACACUCACACCCCCCCCUCCCCCACACUCCCACCAUGCCCUGUACUCACUCGGCGCCCCACACGCCCAUUGCACACCCAUUGCACACCCACGACGCACGUGACACAUGUGACACACACACUCACAUACUCCCAACACGCACUGCAUGCCAAUUGCACACCCUUUGCACACCCACUGCACACCCACUACACACCCAACAUCCGUGACACCCAUGACACACAUGACACACGUGACACACACACACUCACACACUCCCACCAUGCACUGCACACACUCAGCACCCAUUGCACGCCCAUUGCACACCCAUUGCACACCCACAGCACACCCACAACGCGCGCCACCCACGUGACACUCACACCCCCUCCCCCCCACACUCCCACCACGCCCUGUACUCACUCGGCGCCCCACACGCCCAUUGCACACCCAUUGCACACCCACGACGCACGUGACACAUGUGACACACACACUCACAUACUCCCAACACACACUGCACGCCCAUUGCACACCCUUUGCACACCCACUGCACACCAACUACACACCCAACACCCAUUGCACACCCACGACGCACAUGACACACGUGACACACACACACUCACACACUCCACCACGCACUGCACACACUCAACACCCCACACACCCACUGCACACCCACUGCAC
ensembl:lncRNA